rnacentral:lncRNA from 1 species
GUCUAAUUGGCCCACCUGAUGGCAUCCCUCAGGCUCUGAGGACAGGCCCAGGGUGUGAGCCUCCCUGCCACCUGAGCCACCUUUGCCUCUAAUUAAUCAACUCUUGAAUGUGCCUUAUGGACACCAAUCAGCUGAUAAACGGCCAAGGCAGGACUGGGUUACCAGAGAUUAACCGCUCAGGCCGGGGGGAGUUUUCCAGCGUGCAGUACGGUUUGGAAGUUAAAAGUACCUCAGAAAUGCCUGCGCCACUGAACAGUCACAGCAGUGAAUGCAGCACAGACAUGCUACUACAUCGUUCCCCCGGGUCACUGAGGUCCUAA